CACGUCUCACAGUGAUUAUGUUCAAGUAGGAAGGGCAAGCGUAGCCUAAUGCUGCAUCACACUGCCUGCAUCACUUACCUCGCUUCUUCCCGUCACAGAAGGAUGAGCACAGCUCAGCAAGGUAUAAAGCACUAAGCCAAAGCAGCCCAUGAUAAGACGGUAAACAAGAGGACAUAAACCAACAACCCAAGAUGGCAGAAUACAGGAAGACAGUGAUGACUUCACUGAGUAGCUGAGUUGAAUCGGAUGCACAUGGAUGAAUUUCGUGGAUACAAGAUACCUUUCAAGUCAUAGAAUCAGUGUAGAAUCAGGUGAAUUGUUUGAACCACUACAGGCAAAUUAAUCUUUUCAUGAUCAUAAUUUCCCAGCAGAUCACUUGGCUCUCUGGGUCAAGGACCACUAAGUUCACAGCGUUCAUACUGCUGGGAUGCAUGUUUGUGGAAAAAAAGAAUCAACAACAGCAACAACAACAAAAAUCAACAGCACCAAAAUGGUAUUGUUAUAUUGGGAACCUCAGUACUGUUAGUUGAAUGACAACAAGGACUAAGUGUGAAUUCUAUUUACCUCCUUAUGUUCCUUUUAUGCACACAUCAACUAGAGUCUUACUUGAAUUACUAUGCUUCACUAAUUUGGAUAAGGAAAGGAGCAUUUGGUCAAGGUGUUAAACAAAGUCAUUAACCAAUCCUCUAAAAUCUGUCACGGGUACACUUUCUCUGAAUUUUCAAAUUGAGUAACACUGAAUCUAGAAGAUUAAAAAAAAUGUCAAACCUA